GGUAGCAUGGCCGAGCGGUCUAAGGCGCUGGUUUAAGGCACCAGUUUCCUCGGAAGCGUGGGUUCGAAUCCCACCGCUGCCA
rnacentral:tRNA from 1 species